rnacentral:rRNA from 1 species
AUAUCAAUAAGCGGAGGAAAAGAAACCAACAGGGGAUUGCCCUAGUAACGGCGAGUGAAGCGGCAACAGCUCAAAUUUGAAAUCUGGCUCUCGGGCCCGAGUUGUAAUUUGUAGAGGAUGUUUCUGGCAAGGUGCCUUCCGAGUUCCCUGGAACGGGACGCCAUAGAGGGUGAGAGCCCCGUACGGUUGGUUGCCGCGCCUCUGUGAAACUCCUUCGACGAGUCGAGUAGUUUGGGAAUGCUGCUCUAAAUGGGAGGUAUACGUCUUCUAAAGCUAAAUAUUGGCGAGAGACCGAUAGCGAACAAGUACCGUGAGGGAAAGAUGAAAAGAACUUUGAAAAGAGAGUUAAACAGUGCGUGAAAUUGUUGAAAGGGAAACGUUUGACACCAGUCAUGUGGGUGGAAAAUCAGUCUUUUGCAUUGGGGAGUUGUAAGGGUUCGGACCGCAAGGCCGGCUUUUGCUUCAUCUUUGGUGUAAGUGAUGCACUUUUUCAUCUACAGGUCAACAUCAGUUUCUUUUGCUGGACAAAACUCCGAGAGAAGGUAGCAGCUUAGGCUGUGUUAUAGCUCUGGAGCGAUACAGUGAAGGGGACUGAGGUUUUCGCAGCGUGUGCUCUCGGGCAAGGCUGGAUGGGUGCUAUGGGAUCGUUCGGGGUACAAUGCCUGGCAUUUUGCUUCGUGUCUUUUCUAUACUCGCUCAACUCAGCUCUUCCACGCUUAGGAUGUUGACUUAAUGGUUUUAAACGA